UACGGGGGGGAGCAAGCGUUGUUCGGAUUUACUGGGCGUAAAGGGCGCGUAGGCGGUCGUGACAAGUCACUUGUGAAAUCUCCGGGCUUAACUCGGAACGGUCAAGUGAUACUGUCGGACUAGAGUACAGAAGGGGCAACUGGAAUUCUCGGUGUAGCGGUGAAAUGCGCAGAUAUCAGGAGGAACACCGAUGGCGAAGGCAGGUCUCUGGGCCGAUACUGACGCUGAGGAGCGAAAAGCGUGGGGGAGCGAACAGG
rnacentral:rRNA from 1 species